CCUGCCUCAGCCUCCCAAAGUGCUGGGAUGACAGGAUCCUGAUCUUGAAGGACAGCUUCACUGGAUAUAGAAAAAAAGAAAAAAAAAGGAUCCUGAAUGAUUGACAAGAAACCCAAAGUGUGUAAGGAAUACAAGCCCUCAUUCAAUAAGCCUAAUGUUGUAGAAAUUAAAGUUACAGGUACCAUUACAUGAAUUACUCAAAACAGAUCAACCCAUAGAGACAGAAUGAAGACUGGUGUCUCCCAGGGGUUUGCAGGGGGAGUAUGGGGAGAAACUGCUGGAUGGUUGUAGGAUCUUAUUUUGGAGUGAUGGAAAGGUUCUGGAACUGGACAGAGGUGGUAAUUUUACAACACUCUGAAUGUACUGGAUGCCAAAGAAUUGUUCACUUUACAGUGGUUAAUUUUAUGUCAUGUGAAUUUCACCUCAAUAAGUUAAAAAUCCCAAGUUCAAAAAUAAAAGAGCCUUCAUAUCUCACCUUAUUAUAUUAUCCAUAUAUAUUUAGUAAUACAAAUCUCAAUACAAAGCUCAAAAAGACACUAUACUCUCCUGCAACUGGACAAGAUAAGGUGCAGGAGAAGCCUGAAGAAGCAGCAAGAAACGGCACAUGCUGAAGCCAGGAAACCAGGAGUUCCUGGCAAAGGAGGGGAGGGAUGGCAGGGGACAGAGCAGGGAAAAACCACAGAUCACAGGGAAGGGCCACACUGUAGAGUGAGGCAGGCGCAGUGUCACAGGGCCUGUGUUCAGAGCCUUGUGUAGUCCCUCCCACCCUGGGCUUGGCCAUGUGACUGACUUUGGCCAGUGGGACACUGGCAAACAGUGCCAGCAAAGGCUCAGUAAGCACUUGCACACAGAGGCUGCUCCUCCUGGAACUCGGGAAAGUACAAUGAGCCUGCACCCGCCGGAGACCCAGCUGAGCUCCUAGCUGGUGGCCGCCAUCAACUGCCAGCCAGGUGACUGAGGCCAUGCUGGAUCUUCCAACCUCAACACCUCAGCCAACAUCUUGAAGCAGAAGAACCACUCAGUUGACCCACAGAAUGGCAAAGAUAAUACAUUUUUUCUCAAAUCUCCAACUUCAAGAAUUGUACAGAUAUGACUGUGACAUCACUUAAAAAAUAGGAAAAAAAAUUUUAAACAAUUGUACAAAUAAAAUGAAUCAUUUAUGACUUGUUAAUGGAACUUCAGCGGCAACUCAGAGCCCCUGCUGUCCCAAAGCCUUGGAAAUCACGCACCAGAGAGCACAGGUAUUCCCAAAGAUUAAAAGGAAAUAAAUGCUAAGUGGCAAAGUUUAUUAAGAUGU